AAUGAGUCCUCAGUCUGAAUAGCUUUUCUCCACGAACUUCUAACUUCAGUAACUAAAUGGAACAAACCAAGACUGUAACAUAAAAGCAUGGAAAAUGAAGACAUCUGUUGGUAGAGAUAACAAUUCUACAUAAAGACGAUGGAGUUUCCCUGAAGCACCUGCUGCCUUGUCCUCUUAGGACACAUCUUUGUGAAGAGUACCUCCAUGUUCUCUACACCUACUUUUUAGAUACUGAAAUUCUGAUUAAACUCCUAGCAUUGCAUUUUUCAAACUAAAUAAACCAAAUUUCUC